rnacentral:rRNA from 1 species
GGGUCAGUAGGUUGGUCGUGCCACCGGUACGUACUGGUCUCACUGAUUCCUCCUUCCUGAAGAACCGUAAUGCCAUUAAUUUGGUGUUGCGGGGAAACAGGACUGUUACUUUGAAAAAAUUAGAGUGUUUAAAGCAAGCUAACGCUUGAAUACAUUAGCAUGGAAUAAUGAAAUAGGACGAUCGAUCCUAUUUUGAUGGUUUCUAGGAUUGACGUA